CCUACGGGAGUCAGCCGUGGGGAAUAUUGCACCAUGGGGGAAACCCUGAUGCAGCGACGCCGCGUGAGUGAAGACGUAUUUCGGUACGUAAAGCUCUAUCAGUAGGGAAGAAAAAAAGUCCUUUGGACUUUGGACGGUACCUGACCAAGCAGCCCAGCCUAACUCCGUGCCAGCAGCCGCGGUAUUACGUCGGGGGCAAGCGUUAUCCGGAUUUACUGGGUGUAAAGGGAGCGUAGACGGCAGCGCAAGUCUGGAGGGAAAUGCCGGGGCCUAACCCCGGAACUGCUUUGGAAACUGUGCAGCUGGAGGGCAGGAGAGGUAAGCGGAAUUCCGAGUGGAGCGGUGAAAUGCGUAGAUAGUAGGAGGAACACCAGUGGCGAAGGCGGCUUACUGGACUGUAACUGACGUUGAGGCUCGAAAGCGUGGGGAGCAAACAGGAUUAGAUACCCCAGUAGUC
rnacentral:rRNA from 1 species